GGCCUGAUGGUCUAGUAGUAUGAUUCCUUGUUAGGGUCUUAACAGUCGUUUCGAGGAGGUCCUGGGUUCAAUUCCCAGUCAGGCCC